UUGGGACAGAAAUGGCAUUCAGUCAGUGAUUUCUAGGCUACCAUGGACAGAAAUGAAAUUCCAUGUCACUUCUUCUCACAAGGAAAAUAUUUCACAUAAAAGUCACCCAAGGCAUAAUUCUACUCUUGUUUUUUUUUCUAACUUGAAACAGACAUUGAAAUCUAUAUGUUUUUACCUACUGUACUUCUUACAGACCUAAUUUCGCUGAAGUAAGAUAUUCUAACAAGAAAAAGAGGUGUAUUUUUUUUAAUAUACAAGUGUUAUUUUUAAGACAUUUAGGCCUAGUGUAUUUUAGAUAUUUAAACAAUAAAAAAAACAGUGCUUGAAAUAAACAGUUUAUAUUGCCCUUUUAAUCUAUAUAAAAUCAAGGAACCAAUAUGCCUGAAGAUUGCUUAUAUUUUCUACAUCCACUGAUACACCACAUAGAUCAGAGGUCUGAUAAAACUGGCCACCUGCCUUUGCCACCAUAUGUGCAUGACUAAUUUUUUGACUGGUCAUUCCUACAAAUCAGACUGUUCCAUGUGAUUAUUUUGGGGAAAGAUAACAUUUCCUAUCCUGAAUUUGUAAAAAAUGACAUUGCAUUUUCUUUUUCAAAAAUGUAUAAUGAUUUUUAAACUUUACAUAUCUAUUAGUUAUUUGAUUUUUUUUUCACAUUCAAUGAUUGUAAGAUAGAACUGAUGAGUGCUUUGAUUUUUGGAUUUACCCUGUUGCACAUAACAUUGGACCUGCCCAGGUACACAGUUGUAAGUCUGAAACAUUUAGGUUAGCAAGCUGGUGGAAAUCACAGAGAAUCUACUUGAUGUUUUAGGAAAUUUAGAGAUAUUGUUUUGUUUAAGAUGUUUAAGUAUAGUUAUGGUAAAUAAGAAUGACAAGAAGAAUCACCUUGGACAAGAAGAUAUACAACAAAAUCAGGUAAAUACCUUUGAGUUACAUUUAUGCAGAAUUGAUACAGGUUAUAUAUUAAACAAUCAAAGUAAGAUGGCAGCAAACUAAAAUUUGUAACUUGAGAGAUCAAGGCUGUUUUUAUUUUAGAUUUACUAAUACUUGUAAUUGAUUUAAAUCUAGAUUUAAUAGUCAAAUUAAUUGAAUUAUUAGAACUAAAUAGUACAAUCAGUAGUUUUAUGCAGCUGAAUAAGACAGGGUCAUCAUAAUCAUUUAACAUUUUAUUGUUGUUUUCAAUGGAGAUUUCUGAUAUUACAUUUUACAUACAUUGCAGGCUAGUGGGACCAGUUCUUACUUUGAGAUGCCAGGUGAAUAAUGAUAUGCAGUAUUGAGCCUGAAAAGGUGAACACAGCCACAUGAAGUUCUCCGAGGAAAUAGAAGCAGAGCACUGAAACAGACAUCAAUAAAAGAAAUAGUAGUUUGAAUAAUCAGAAACAUUUGAUCAAAUUUAUGAUUUGAACAGUUCCUCACCGACAGACUUCCAGCAAAAUAAUUGUAUAAAUAAAGUGUUUGAUUCCAAGAAAACCAGUAAAAAACAAAAA